CUACCGGCGUCGAGAGGGCGGCGUGAUGGGUCGGCAGGGGUCAGCAGAGGGCACAGUAGGUCCCGCGACCGGACCGAUGGCC
rfam:Limnochorda pilosa DNA, complete genome, strain: HC45.